GAUGAACGCUGGCGGCGUGCCUAAUACAUGCAAGUCGAGCGAACAGACGAGGAGCUUGCUCCUCUGACGUUAGCGGCGGACGGGUGAGUAACACGUGGAUAACCUACCUAUAAGACUGGGAUAACUUCGGGAAACCGGAGCUAAUACCGGAUAAUAUAUUGAACCGCAUGGUUCAAUAGUGAAAGACGGUUUUGCUGUCACUUAUAGAUGGAUCCGCGCCGCAUUAGCUAGUUGGUAAGGUAACGGCUUACCAAGGCAACGAUGCGUAGCCGACCUGAGAGGGUGAUCGGCCACACUGGACCUGAGACACGGUCCAGACCCCUACGGGAGGCAGCAGUAGGGAUCUUCCGCAAUGGGCGAAAGCUUGACGGAGCAACGCCGCGUGAGUGAUGAAGGUCUUCGGAUCGUAAAACUCUGUUAUUAGGGAAGAACAAAUGUGUAAGUAACUAUGCACGUCUUGACGGUACCUAAUCAGAAAGCCACGGCUAACUACGUG
rnacentral:rRNA from 1 species